rnacentral:rRNA from 1 species
GACGAACGCUGGCGGCGUGCUUAACACAUGCAAGUCGAACGGAAAGGCCCUGCUUUUGUGGGGUGCUCGAGUGGCGAACGGGUGAGUAACACGUGAGUAACCUGCCCUUGACUUUGGGAUAACUUCAGGAAACUGGGGCUAAUACCGGAUAGGAGCUCCUGCUGCAUGGUGGGGGUUGGAAAGUUUCGGCGGUUGGGGAUGGACUCGCGGCUUAUCAGCUUGUUGGUGGGGUAGUGGCUUACCAAGGCUUUGACGGGUAGCCGGCCUGAGAGGGUGACCGGCCACAUUGGGACUGAGAUCCGGCCCAGACUCCUCCGGGAGGCAGCAGGGGGGAAUAGUGCACAAUGGGCGGAAGCCUGAUGCAGCACCGCCGCGUGCGGGAUGACGGCCUUCGGGUUGUAAACCGCUUUCGCCUGGGACGAAGCGUGAGUGACGGUAAUGGGUAAAGAAGCACCGGCUAACUACG